rnacentral:misc_RNA from 1 species
UACGGAGGAUCCAAGCGUUAUCCGGAUUCAUUGGGUUUAAAGGGUCCGUAGGUGGAGUAUUAAGUCAGUGGUGAAAGCCUACCGCUUAACGGUGGAAUUGCCAUUGAUACUGGUACUCUUGAGUAUAGUUGAGGUAGGCGGAACAAGUCAUGUAGCGGUGAAAUGCAUAGAUAUGACUUAGAACACCUAUUGCGAAGGCAGCUUACUAAACUAUUACUGACGCUCAGGGACGAAAGCGUGGGUAGCAAACAGG